rnacentral:rRNA from 1 species
AUUGAACGCUGGCGGCAGGCCUAACACAUGCAAGUCGAACGAGUGGCGGACGGGUGAGUAAUGUCUGGGAAACUGCCCGAUGGAGGGGGAUACCUACUGGAAACGGUAGCUAAUACCGCAUACCAUCGGAUGUUCCCAGAUGGGAUUAGCCAGUAGGUGGGGUAACGCCUCACCUAGGCGACGAUCCCUAGCUGGUCUGAGAGGAUGACCAGCCAGCCUGGACCUGAGACACGGUCCAGACUCCUACGGUAGGCAGCAGUGUGGAAUAUUGCACAAUGGGCGAAAGCCUGAUGCACCAAGGCCGCGGGUAGGAGGAAGGCCUUCGGGUGGUAAAGUACUUUCAGCGUGGAGGCGUUACUCGCAGAAGAAGCACCGGCUAACUCCGUGCCAGCAGCCGCGGUAAUAC